CCGAGCAGGAGGACCCCGACGUGUGGCAGGUCCUGGGGGGUGACAAGGACGACUUCCUUGUUUAUGACCGGUGCGGCCGCCUGGCUUUCCACAUCCAGUUGCCCUUCAGCUUCCUCCACUUCCCCUAUGUGGAGGCAGCCAUCCGCUCCAGCCACGUCAAGGACUUCUGUGGCAACUGCUCCCUCUACCCCAACACUACCCAGGAGGCUAACAGCACCAUGGAGGGCCCUGCCACCCCAAGCUCCCUUCCUGAACAUGAGGGGAUGGAGUCAGAGACCCCGGUCCACCAGCACAAGCCCCUCCAUCCUCACCACCAUCAUGAAGUCAACAGCGAGAGAGACACAAAGCCAAGUGAGGACCACAAACCUGCUACCCAUGCUCACCACCACCACGGAGACCAUGGCCAGCUCCAUCACAAGGAAAAGAAGCAGAAGGAGGGGGAUGAGCAUUAAACCAGGCUGGGCAGCCUUGCAGAACCCAGUAGUGUGCAGACGACCCCACCUCCCUUCACAGAGGCAUGGAAGGACUUGCUUUGGGCUGCUGGUCACCAGCAGUGCUGGUUUAACAACUCCCUCCAGCAAACCCCAUGUGGGUUGCCCUCCUACGCUCUGAUAGGGAUGGAAAUUCCCCUUGGACCCUGCUCAGUGCUGCAUUUUCAGCCCCAAGGCUCAGUUCUGAGCCUUCAUCUGCCACUGCCCGCCUUUCUGUGCUCAAUGAAGCCCGCUGUGCAAACCAGGAGGUCCCUGGUCACUGCUGGCUGACACUGCACAGAGCAGCAGGGCNGGUGGCCUGGGCUCCCUGGAGCACAGCUCGUGUGUGUGCCGGGUCAUUCCCUGCCAGCCCGAGUCCCGCGACAUGAACUGGGGAAAUGUGUCCCUGCGCAGUGCUGGGCGCUUCACAGUGUCCGGGGUACCCGGUGGGGACUUGGGGGGAGCAGCGUGCGGGUGGGGGGUGACAGCUCUGCGGAAAGUCACAGGAUGUCAAUCACAGGGACUGCUCACCAGCCCAACCCACGGCCCCACAUCCUUGGGGCCCCUCAAGCCCCUCAGCAGCGAUCCCCUCUACCCCUGCUAUUUUCAGACGAAUCCCCACUCUGUGUGUGUCUGGGAUCAUGUUCUGCCCCCGCUGUGACUGUGGCUGCUUGCCCUUCCCUCCCUUAUCAUGUUUUUGUACAGAUCUCGG
rnacentral:lncRNA from 1 species